UACGGGGGGGGGCAAGCGUUGUUCGGAAUUACUGGGCGUAAAGGGCUCGUAGGCGGCCAACUAAGUCAGACGUGAAAUCCCUCAGCUUAACUGGGGAACUGCGUCUGAUACUGGAUGGCUUGAGUUCGGGAGAGGGAUGCGGAAUUCCAGGUGUAGCGGUGAAAUGCGUAGAUAUCUGGAGGAACACCGGUGGCGAAGGCGGCAUCCUGGACCGACACUGACACUGAUGAGCGAAAGCCAGGGGAGCAAACGGG
rnacentral:rRNA from 1 species